rnacentral:rRNA from 1 species
AACGAACGCUGGCGGCAGGCUUAACACAUGCAAGUCGAGCGCCCCGCAAGGGGAGCGGCAGACGGGUGAGUAACGCGUGGGAAUCUACCCAACCCUACGGAAUAACGCAUGGAAACGUGUGCUAAUACCGUAUACGCCCUUUUGGGGAAAGAUUUAUCGGGGAUGGAUGAGCCCGCGUUGGAUUAGCUAGUUGGUGGGGUAAAGGCCUACCAAGGCGACGAUCCAUAGCUGGUCUGAGAGGAUGGUCAGCCACAUUGGGACUGAGACACGGCCCAAACUCCUACGGGAGGCAGCAGUGGGGAAUAUUGGACAAUGGGCGCAAGCCUGAUCCAGCCAUGCCGCGUGAGUGAUGAAGGCCCUAGGGUUGUAAAGCUCUUUCACCGGAGAAGAUAAUGACGGUAUCCGGAGAAGAAGCCCCGGCUAACUUCGUGCCAGCCGCCGCAGUAA